GUAAAAUUUAACCCGAAAAUAUUAGGAUUUAAAGGAAUAAUCCUAAUAUUAAAUACAACGUGAAUAAAAGCUUUUAAGGGAGUAAGUUUAUAAGAAGUCCGAGUUAACGGGACUUAAAAUAAAACAGGUUAUAACUCCCGGAACCCACUAAAUAACUAGGAAUAUCAACCUAGUUAGUCUAGUGUUUUAAAAUAAAGAGGGAACUUGAUGUAGUAACCUUUAUAAACCUGGGUAAAGUAGAGGGACUAAAAUGGUUAAGAUGAGAAAAUGAGUUUUUAUUAAUUAAAACUAAAAACACCAAAACACACACCUUUGUGUGUGUUCUGGUCGUACAAAACACAGGAGCCAAGAAGGGCUCUCAAGCUCAAACCCUAACAAGCAUAAAAUCAACAAAUUGAAGGGGCAAAUCCAACCUAAAUCGAAAUCCAAGCACGAAUUCAUGAUCACCUCGAUGAAGGGAUCAUAAGAUGGAGGCUUGGGGAAAGAAGCGGGUCAAAUGGAUCGUAUACGCGGAAAAGAGCAUAAUCCGGAUACUAGGAAUAAAUAUCGAUUGAAUGUUGACAUCGCUAUUACUUAGCGGCUACUAAGGCAAGGUGAAGAUGGACCUAAUCCGGAUGAAGAUCAAGCGGCGAGCAAGAACCGAACACAUGUUAAAUGAAGCUUCCGCGUCAAAUCUUGAUUUGUGUUGAUAUAAGUGAAUUAUGUAAACACUUAUAAAUUGUUUUUGAAAUGUUGUAAUCAUUUGGGAAUGUUGGUAUAACAAGUUUUGUAAAGACACAUUUUAGCAUAAAAAUUUGUAUCUUUUAUUAAAA